GCAAAAACAAACCUUAAACCUAUACAAACUAAAGAAAAUUCUCACAGCGCACAGUAUUUCAUAAAAAAUCUUCCUAUCCACUCAAAAACCGCAAGGGCCAAUUUUUUAGCCUUUUCAAGAAAUGGUAACACCAUGUCCCUUUUGCAUCAUGGAGAAGCAACAAAACCAUAGCAAACUAACCUCCCGAAUGACUAUGAGCUACUAACUCUUAAAAAUCAAUGUUUCAUAAUUGAUAAAAUAACCCUUAGUAGAAGUAACAAGCCUUUCAUAUAGUCGUAUAGCUGGUUUUUCUUUAAAAGCAUCAAAGUGCUGCCUUAUAGUAUAAAACAGUACCAUGUUACUAAGACUAUAAAGUUUAGUUUAUUGAGGAUAAGCUCAAUAAUAACACAAAAAUAUUUUACUUCAUAACAUUAAAAGUAGGCUUAAAAGCAGCCAUCAUAUAACGUUCCAGUUACUAACGCUUAAUCGAGCAAUAUCCAUACACUAAUUUUAACGCUUAAAGAAAUUUAAUAUAAAACUCCUCAUAUUAAUAAACAGGCAUUCUAUUAGUAUUAACGUAAUCUAUAUUCAUAACCCUAAAUAAAUCUGAAUCAUAACACCUUUUACUCCACAAACCUAUACAAAGCGAACUCGGCAAAUAAAUUCCCUGCCUGUUUACCAAAAACAUCGUCUUUUGAUUUCCUCAAAUAAAAGAUAAUGCCUGCCCAGUGAAAAUCUUUAAACGGCCGCGUUAGCGUGAGCGUGCUAAGGUAGCGUAAUAAUUAGCCUUUUAAUUGGAGGCCAGUGAAUGGCAAGACUAGGAAUAACUGUACUUUGUAUAUAAAAAGAAUUUUUCAUCUAAGUGAAAAGACUUAGAUAAUAAAGGAAGACGAAAAGACCCCGCGGAACUUUACCUUUUCCUGUACUUCCGUCUACAAACUUUAAAAGUACAUGAGGUUUGAUUGGGGCAAUCUUGGAAUCAACAAAGCUUCCAAUUUAUUUUAAGCCAUAUUAAAAAUUUAUUAAGGACUAAAAAGUAGUUACCCCGGGGAUAACAGCGUAAUCCAACUUAAGAGUACACAUCGAAAGUUGGGUUUGCGACCUCGAUGUUGGCUUAAGGAUAUCCACAUAAGUGCAACCGCUAUGUCAGGAUAGUCUGUUCGACUAUUAUACCCUUACACGAGCUGAGUUAAGACCGGCGCAAGCUAGGUUGGUUUCUAUCUCCUUUAGAAAACCCUCUCUUGAUUGUACGAAAGGACCUCAAGAAAUGCAGUUAACAAAAGCAUUGUAUAAAACAUACAUCUACUUGAUUUUAAGUAAUACAC
rnacentral:rRNA from 1 species